UGCAGUCGAGCGAACAGAUGAAGUGCUUGCACUUCUGACGUUAGCGGCGAACGGGUGAGUAACACGUAAGGAAUCUACCUAUAAGCGGGGGAUAACAUUCGGAAACGGGUGCUAAUACCGCAUAAUAUCUUCUUCCGCAUGGAAGAAGAUUGAAAGACGGCUCUGCUGUCACUUAUAGAUGACCUUGCGGUGCAUUAGUUAGUUGGUGGGGUAACGGCCUACCAAGACGAUGAUGCAUAGCCGACCUGAGAGGGUGAUCGGCCACAUUGGGACUGAGACACGGCCCAAACUCCUACGGGAGGCAGCAGUAGGGAAUCUUCCGCAAUGGGCGAAAGCCUGACGGAGCAAUGCCGCGUGAGUGAAGAAGGCCUUCGGGUCGUAAAACUCUGUUAUAAGAGAAGAACAAAUUGUAGAGUAACUGCUACAGUCUUGACGGUAUCUUAUCAGAAAGCCACGGCUAACUACGUGCCAGCAGCCGCGGUAAUACGUAGGUGGCAAGCGUUGUCCGGAUUUAUUGGGCGUAAAGGGAGCGCAGGUGGUUUCUUAAGUCUGAUGUGAAAGCCCACGGCUUAACCGUGGAGGGUCAUUGGAAACUGGGAAACUUGAGUACAGAAGAGGAAUGUGGAACUCCAUGUGUAGCGGUGGAAUGCGUAGAUAUAUGGAAGAACACCAGUGGCGAAGGCGACAUUCUGGUCUGUUACUGACACUGAGGCUCGAAAGCGUGGGGAGCAAACAGGAUUAGAUA
rnacentral:rRNA from 1 species